rnacentral:rRNA from 1 species
AUUGAACGCUGGCGGCAGGCCUAACACAUGCAAGUCGAACGGUAACAGGAAGCAGCUUGCUGCUUUGCUGACGAGUGGCGGACGGGUGAGUAAUGUCUGGGAAACUGCCCGAUGGAGGGGGAUAACUACUGGAAACGGUAGCUAAUACCGCAUAACGUCGCAAGACCAAAGAGGGGGACCUUAGGGCCUCUUGCCAUCGGAUGUGCCCAGAUGGGAUUAGCUAGUAGGUGGGGUAACGGCUCACCUAGGCGACGAUCCCUAGCUGGUCUGAGAGGAUGACCAGCCACACUGGAACUGAGACACGGUCCAGACUCCUACGGGAGGCAGCAGUGGGGAAUAUUGCACAAUGGGCGCAAGCCUGAUGCAGCCAUGCCGCGUGUAUGAAGAAGGCCUUCGGGUUGUAAAGUACUUUCAGCGGGGAGGAAGGGAGUAAAGUUAAUACCUUUGCUCAUUGACAUUACCCGCAGAAGAAGCACCGGCUAACUCCGUG